rnacentral:lncRNA from 1 species
GCACAACCAAAAGGAAAAAAAACACAGGGGAAAAAACAAAACAGAGCAUUAUCCUAUCAACAAAACAGGAACAGAAAACAUGAAAAACUGAGAUGCUCCUAUCACAGCUUUCCUUUGUCUCAAGUAAAAUCUAAGUAGUGUAUCCCCCAGACUUUCACAUAAGCAUUUUGUCAAACACCUUAAUAGCAUAAACUAAAAUAUGCAAAUUUUUAGAUAGUAGGGUCAAGUACCUAGAGGCUAGAAUUAGAUACAGUUUAAUGGACGGGUUGAAAAAAAAAAAGAUAACACAAACCCAAGUAACCC